rnacentral:rRNA from 1 species
GACGUAGGGGGCGAGCGUUGUCCGGAUUUAUUGGGCGUAAAGAGCUUGUAGGCGGUUUGUCGCGUCUGCUGUGAAAUUUCGGGGCUCAACCCCGAACUUGCAGUGGGUACGGGCAGACUAGAGUGUGGUAGGGGAGACUGGAAUUCCUGGUGUAGCGGUGAAAUGCGCAGAUAUCAGGAGGAACACCGGUGGCGAAGGCGGGUCUCUGGGCCGUAACUGACGCUGAGGAGCGAAAGCAUGGGGAGCGAACAGG